CGUAGGGGAGCCUGCGGAGGGAUCAUUACACAAUACAAUAUGAAGGCUGUCCGCAGCUGGAGUAUUUUAUUACCCUUGUCUUUUGCGCACUUGUUGUUUCCUGGGCGGGUUCGCUCGCCACCAGGACCACCAAAUAAACCUUUUUUAUGCAGUUGCAAUCAGCGUCAGUACAAACAAUGUAAAUCAUUUACAACUUUCAACAACGGAUCUCUUGGUUCUGGCAUCGAUGAAGAACGCAGCGAAAUGCGAUACGUAGUGUGAAUUGCAGAAUUCAGUGAAUCAUCGAAUCUUUGAACGCACAUUGCGCCCUUUGGUAUUCCAAAGGGCAUGCCUGUUCGAGCGUCAUUUGUACCCUCAAGCUUUGCUUGGUGUUGGGCGUUUUUGUCUUUGGUCGCCCAAAGACUCGCCUUAAAGUGAUUGGCAGCCGGCCUUUCUGGUUUCGCAGCGCAGCACAUUUUUGCGCUUGCCAUCAGCAAAACGGCAAUCCAUCAAGCCUCCUUCUCACGUUUGACCUCGGAUCAGGUAGGGAUACCCGCUGAACUUAAGCAUAUCAAUAGCCCG
rnacentral:rRNA from 1 species